rnacentral:rRNA from 1 species
CAUGCAAGUCGAGCGGAUGACGGGAGCUUGCUCCUUGAUUCAGCGGCGGACGGGUGAGUAAUGCCUAGGAAUCUGCCUGGUAGUGGGGGACAACGUUUCGAAAGGAACGCUAAUACCGCAUACGUCCUACGGGAGAAAGCAGGGGACCUUCGGGCCUUGCGCUAUCAGAUGAGCCUAGGUCGGAUUAGCUAGUUGGUGGGGUAAUGGCUCACCAAGGCGACGAUCCGUAACUGGUCUGAGAGGAUGAUCAGUCACACUGGAACUGAGACACGGUCCAGACUCCUACGGGAGGCAGCAGUGGGGAAUAUUGGACAAUGGGCGAAAGCCUGAUCCAGCCAUGCCGCGUGUGUGAAGAAGGUCUUCGGAUUGUAAAGCACUUUAAGUUGGGAGGAAGGGCAGUAAGUUAAUACCUUGCUGUUUUGACGUUACCGACAGAAUAAGCACCGGCUAACUCUGUGCCAGCAGCCGCGGUAAUACAGAGGGUGCAAGCGUUAAUCGGAAUUACUGGGCGUAAAGCGCGCGUAGGUGGUUUGUUAAGUUGGAUGUGAAAGCCCCGGGCUCAACCUGGGAACUGCAUCCAAAACUGGCAAGCUAGAGUACGGUAGAGGGUGGUGGAAUUUCCUGUGUA